ACGGCCAUACCAUGCUGAAUAUACCAGUUCUCGUUCGAUCACCGAAGUCAAGCCUCACCGGGCGCGGUCAGUACUGCG